rnacentral:rRNA from 1 species
GUGGGGAAUCUUAGACAAUGGGGGAAACCCUGAUCUAGCCAUGCCGCGUGAUCGAUGAAGGCCUUAGGGUUGUAAAGAUCUUUCAGGUGGGAAGAUAAUGACUGUACCACCAGAAGACGCCCCGGCUAACUCCGUGCCAGCAGCCGCGGUAAUACGGAGGGGGCUAGCGUUGUUCGGAAUUACUGGGCGUAAAGCGCACGUAGGCGGAUUGGAAAGUUGGGGGUGAAAUCCCGGGGCUCAAUCCCGGAACUGCCUUCAAAACUCCCAGUCUUGAGUUCGAGAGAGGUGAGUGGAAUUCCGGGUGUAGAGGUGAAAUUCGUAGAUAUUCGGAGGAACACCAGUGGCGAAGGCGGCUCACUGGCUCGAUACUGACGCUGAGGUGCGAAAGCGUGGGGAGCAAACAGGAUUAGAAACCCUAGUAGUCC